CCCGCUGAACUUAAGCAUAUCAAUAAGCGGAGGAAAAGAAACUAACAAGGAUUCCCCUAGUAACUGCGAGUGAAGCGGGAAAAGCUCAAAUUUAAAAUCUGGCGGCUCCGUCGUCCGAGUUGUAAUUUAGAGAAGUGCUAUCAGCGCCGGACCGUGUACAAGUCUCCUGGAAUGGAGCGUCAUAGAGGGUGAGAAUCCCGUCUUUGACACGGACUACCGGGGCAUUGUGAUACGCUCUCAAAGAGUCGAGUUGUUUGGGAAUGCAGCUCAAAAUGGGUGGUAAAUUCCAUCUAAAGCUAAAUAUUGGGGAGAGACCGAUAGCGAACAAGUACCGUGAGGGAAAGAUGAAAAGAACUUUGGAAAGAGAGUUAAACAGUACGUGAAAUUGCUGAAAGGGAAACGCUUGAAGUCAGUCGCGUCGUCCAGGAUUCAGCCUUGCCUUUUGCUUGGUGCACUUCCUGUUCGAUGGGUCAGCAUCAGUUUUGGCCGGUGGAUAAAGGCUCAGAGAAUGUGGCACCCUCGGGUGUGUUAUAGCUCUGGGUCAUAUACAUCGGCUGGGACUGAGGUACUCAGCACGCCGCAAGGCCGGGUUUCGACCACGUUCGUGCUUAGGAUGCUGGCAUAAUGGCUUUAAUCGACCCGUCUUGAAACACGG
rnacentral:rRNA from 1 species